rnacentral:rRNA from 1 species
GGAUUAGGCAUGCAAGUCGCACGAGAAAGGGGUAGCAAUACCUCCGGUAAAGUGGCGCAAGGGUGAGUAACGUAUAGACAACCUGCCCCCGAGAUCGGGACAACACCUCGAAAGGGGUGCUAAUACCGAGUGGCGUCGCGAAGGUUCCGGCCUUUGCGACUAUAAGAUGGGGACCCUUCGGGGCCUGUCGCUCGAGGAGGGGUCUAUAUCCUAUCAGCUAGUUGGCAGGGUAACGGCCUACCAAGGCUAAGACGGGUAGCCGGCCUGAGAGGGUGUUCGGCCACACUGGCACUGAGACACUGGCCAGACUCCUACGGGAGGCUGCAGUCGAGAAUCUUCCGCAAUGGGCGCAAGCCUGACGGAGCGACGCCGCGUGGACGAUGAAGGCCUUCGGGUUGUAAAGUCCUGUCACCUGGUAAGAAACGCGCGGUGAGAAUAUCAUUCGCGCUUGACGUUACCGGGAGAGGAAGCCACGGCUAACUCUGUGCCAGCAGCCGCGGUAAGACAGAGGUGGCGAGCGUUGUUCGGAAUCACUGGGCUUAAAGGGCACGUAGGCGGCUCGGUAAGUCGGAUGUGAAAUCCCCUGGCUCAACCAGGGAACCGCAUACGAAACUGCCGGGCUUGAGCGCAGGAGGGGAGAGCGGAACUCCUAGUGGAGCGGUGAAAUGCGUAGAUAUUAGGAGGAACGCCGGUGGCGAAAGCGGCUCUCUAGUCUGCAGCUGACGCUGAGGUGCGAAAGCUAGGGGAGCAAACAGGAUUAGAUACCCUGGUAGUCCUAGCCCUAAACGAUGGGCACUAAGUAGAGGGGUUUU